rnacentral:rRNA from 1 species
AUGGCACCGAGCAAGCUCCGCAAGGCGCUGGGAGCGGUCAAGGACAAGACCAGCAUCGGUCUGGCCAAGGUGGGCGGCGGCAGCGGUUUCGCGUCGCCGGAGCUCGAAGUGGCCAUCGUCAAGGCCACCAAGCACGAUGAGAACUUCCCCGCCGACGAGCGCCACAUCCGCGAGAUCGUCUCGCUCACGCGCGACUCCCGCGGGUCCGCCAGCGCCUGCGUGGCCGCGCUGUCGCGCCGUCUCGGGCGCACCCGGAGUUGGGACGUGGCGCUCAAGACGCUGGUGAUCGUGCACCGCCUCCUCGCCGAAGGCGAUCCGGUGUUCGAGCAGGAGCUAUUCUACGCCACGCGGCGGGGCACGCGCAUGCUCAACAUGUCCGACUUCUGCGGCCGCGCUAGCGACGACGACGCGUGGGACUACUCCGCGUUCGUCCGCACCUACGCCGCUUACCUCGACGACCGCCUCGAGCACCGGAUACAGGCCAGGCAGGGCGGCCCCAACCGCUGCAAGCUGCUCCGCGACGAGCUCUACGUGUCCCCCGGAGACCGCCUCAGCCGCGAGGGUGUUGACGGGAGUAAACGGGAGGAUGCGGCGGCGGACGCCGACGCCGCCAAGGCGGGGGCGAUCGCGCCGAGGGAGACGCCGACGAGCGAGAUGACGCUGGAGCAGCUCCUCGCCAAGGUCCAGCAACUGCAGCAUCUCCUCGACCGAUUCAUCGCCUGCCGACCCGCAGGCGCGGCGAAGACGAACCGGGUGGUGUCGGUGUCUCUGUACCCGCUGGUGAAGGAGAGCGUGCAGCUGUACUGCGAGCUCACGGAGGUCAUGGCCGCGCUCAUGGAGCGGUUCCCGGACAUGGAGAGCGCGGACUGCGAGCGCGUGACCGGAGUCUUCUGCGGCCUCGCCAAGCAGAUCGAGGAUCUCGACUCUUUCUACGCGUGGUGCAAGGACGCCUACGUCUGCCGCCAGUCCGACGUGCCGGAAGUGGAGGUCAUCACGCAGGAGAGGCUAGAGCUCAUGGACGAGUUCAUCUGCGACAGGCGCGGCGCCGAGUAUCUGCGGAGGCUGCCGCCGCCGUCGCCGGAGCCGUCCAGCCCGGAGCCAGAGGUCGAGGAGUACGACAUGAGCGCCGCCAGGGCCCUUCCGGCGCCCGCGGAGCCGCCGGCUGCCGUGGAGAAGGAGCCCGAUGCCAGCGAGACGGCGCAUGCUGAGCCGGAGGCUCCGCUGAUCACAACCGACGUGGUCGACGAGGAGGCGGACUUCUUGAACUUGAAGGCGGACGCCAUGUCCGGGGAAGAGCACGGGCGGCAGCUGGCGCUGGCCCUGUUCGACGGCAACCCGGCCGGAUCGGCGCCGACAUGCGACGUGUUCGACCCGUCAUCGGCGGACUGGGAGACGGCAUUGGUCGAGUCGGCGAGCGCGCUCGCGAACCAGCGCGCGAUGCUAGGGGGCGGGCUCGACAUGAUGGCCCUCGAAGGCAUGUACAACCACGCAACGGCGGCGAACGCGCAGGCGUUCUCCGGCAGCGCGAGCAGCGUGGCCUUGCGGCCGCCCGGAGCGCCCAUGCUGGCCCUGCCUGCGCCGCCGGGGAUGUGCAGCGCCGCGCCAGGUGGGGACCCCUUCGCGGCGUCGAUGGUGGUGCCGCCGCCGACGUACGUGCAGAUGUCCGACAUGCAGACGAAGCAGCAGCUUCUGACGGAGGAGCAGAUGGCGUGGCAACAAUAUGGCAAGAAUGGCAUGCAAGGGCAGGGGGGCCUGGCAAUGCGAGAGCAGAGACCGCAGCAGCUCAUGCCUCCUGGCGUUUACCAUCGUGCUUCUUAG